AAGUAGGAGAUUGCAAGAUAGCCAUGUAGUGUAAUGGUGUCAUGGUAGGAUAGCCACACAAAGAGUGUGCAAGUGAGUCUUGUAUCAAAUUGAGUAGUGAAUAAAGGUUUGAGUUUCCUUAUAGAGAGUUAGUGUCCCGCAUUGGUGUCAGUGCGAAGAUCUUCUCGAAGCAGUGUGGGUAAGAGUCCACAAAAGAAAUGGUAGUACACUACUUUGGUGUCACUUCUAGAAAAUCGGUGUCAAGUUCGGGAUUCCGAUUUCUCAACAUAGCAUGUAACUUCUUCACAUCGAAAAGUGUGCCGAGCACAUGCAAAGAACUUGAUUGAAUGCAUACCAUCUAGUCCAUAGUGAUGGCAGAGUCGUAAACCAGCUUUCUGACCAGGUUUCCUUUAGCUUUCUGACCAGGUCUGUAAAUAAAAUAACAAAGAGAUUAUGAAAAAUAAUCCAUUGAUCAGUAGCAAUAAUUCAUUGAUCAGCAGGUUAAAAAAAAGGUGAUACACUAACCUUUGUGUCCUCAACUUCCAGACCGAACUGUUUUCCAUUGUACAUCUCCAUAAAAUACAUGGCUAAUAAGCCAGUAUCACAUGAAGAGAUUUUCUUCUCGAAAGGAACCGGUGCAGGUGACCAGUCCAUAAAGUCAAAGAUUUUUCUAGUACUGAAGUCUACUUCCUUCAAGAGUGGUUUACACAAUUCAGCAGCAUCGAUUGGUUCCUCAUUUGAGCUGCAGAUCAGGUAGUCUAUCCUUUGACAGACUUUAUUAAU
rnacentral:lncRNA from 1 species